GACUGCUUGACGGAGCCUCUUCGGAGUAGCUAUUUCAGUCGGCCUAUACGUCGUUCAGGCCGUCUGUGGCGCAUGCGCAAGUCGCUUCACACAUCGAUUCCUGCAGGUAAUUUUUUGUUGGCCCUGCGGGCCACCAGAGGCAAACAAACUACAAAUAACGUUUCAACGUUCACUUUACGCCUAAAUUGGAAGGUACUUGAGUUUGUUUGCCUCGGGUGGCCUGCGGCCACAGUCCUCGUCCCUCGGACCCGAGGCCAAACGUCCUCCUCCCUUCGGUCGUCGGACAUGAAAUAUAUAGGUACUCCAGGUAGGGCACAGUCGGGGUCGUGAAUACCGAUCCCGAACCGCCGCCCGCUUGAGUACAUGCGACUAACUACUUUUUAUUUUUUAAUAAACCGCCAAAUCUGUAGCUGCGGUGGCGUUAAUACGUAAGUACCAAUUU
rnacentral:lncRNA from 1 species